rnacentral:lncRNA from 1 species
UUCUGAUUCCUUUUUUUUUUACCGAGAUGCAGGCCCAUUUAAUUCUUUCUGAGUUCCUCACUCACUUCUUUUCAAUUUUUGGACUUGGACCUGGGUGGAUCCUUUUGAGUACUUCCAGUUCAAAAACACAAUUACUUGUUUGCUUUUGCCAUCCGGUUAUCACAAGGAUCUCCUGUUUGUCAUAAGACUUCUCCUUAGUUAUUAUCCCAUCAAGAUUAAUGAUAUUUCAGCUUUUGCUAUGAUGAGGUUAGAGAGAUGUGAAAUUUUAGUAAGUUUAUUCAUGCUCAUACUGCAUAAACUAGAAUGAU